CUUGCUUCUCUUGAGAGCGGCGGACGGGUGAGUAAUGCCUAGGAAUCUGCCUGGUAGUGGGGGAUAACGUUCGGAAACGGACGCUAAUACCGCAUACGUCCUACGGGAGAAAGCAGGGGACCUUCGGGCCUUGCGCUAUCAGAUGAGCCUAGGUCGGAUUAGCUAGUUGGUGGGGUAAUGGCUCACCAAGGCGACGAUCCGUAACUGGUCUGAGAGGAUGAUCAGUCACACUGGAACUGAGACACGGUCCAGACUCCUACGGGAGGCAGCAGUGGGGAAUAUUGGACAAUGGGCGAAAGCCUGAUCCAGCCAUGCCGCGUGUGUGAAGAAGGUCUUCGGAUUGUAAAGCACUUUAAGUUGGGAGGAAGGGUUGUAGAUUAAUACUCUGCAAUUUUGACGUUACCGACAGAAUAAGCACCGGCUAACUCUGUGCCAGCAGCCGCGGUAAUACAGAGGGUGCAAGCGUUAAUCGGAAUUACUGGGCGUAAAGCGCGCGUAGGUGGUUUGUUAAGUUGGAUGUGAAAUCCCCGGGCUCAACCUGGGAACUGCAUUCAAAACUGACUGACUAGAGUAUGGUAGAGGGUGGUGGAAUUUCCUGUGUAGCGGUGAAAUGCGUAGAUAUAGGAAGGAACACCAGUGGCGAAGGCGACCACCUGGACUAAUACUGACACUGAGGUGCGAAAGCGUGGGGAGCAAAC
rnacentral:rRNA from 2 species